AGGGGAGAUUAAAUACCCAGUGCUUUUAACACUUCAUGUAAAAUGAAGUCUGAUCUAAGUGAGGGUCUAGGAGAGUUGUUGUAACAUGUGGCAAAUGGUCCAGUCUGCCUUUAAAAGCUAUAAAAUUUUGCAAAUAGGAACGUGGCAUUUUCCUCCCUAUUUAAUUACAAAUGCUACUGUGAUAAUUGAUUGUUGAAUGCUCAUAAGAAGAGAUGGUCUUCAUGUCCAAAGAAGAUACAAUGCAGUUACAUCCCUUAUUCGUGCCAAGGCAUCUCCGCGUGGCUCCAGGCGGGAUUCGUUCAACCACCGAAAGCUCAACGGGGGAGCCAGGCUAAGGGCACAGAAUCAGAGAGGGCAGAAAUCAGAGAGGGCACAAGAGACCACCCGCUGGAGCAACUGUGCCCCUGGAGAAGAGCAGGU